UACAGAGGGUGCGAGCGUUAAUCGGAAUUACUGGGCGUAAAGCGCGCGUAGGCGGCUUUGCAAGUCGGGUGUGAAAGCCCCGGGCUCAACCUGGGAAUUGCAUUCGAGACUGAAUAGCUAGGGUACGGUAGAGGCAAGCGGAAUUCCGGGUGUAGCGGUGGAAUGCGUAGAUAUCCGGAAGAACACCGGAGGCGAAGGCGGCUUGCUGGACCUGGUCUGACGCUGAGGCGCGAAAGCGUGGGGAGCGAACAGG
rnacentral:rRNA from 1 species